GCCUUCACUUCCCAACAGGUGAAAUAAAAACUGAUUAUAUGAAGAACCUGGUGAUUAUGGAAAAACAACAGCUUGAUUGACAUGAGGGCCUCCAUCAAAACGUGUUGACCCAUCACUCUCUUGUAAGAUGACUUGUCAGUCUUACCUCAGAUGUUGUGUAUGCACAGAAGACAGAACAACCAACUCUGCUAGACCCACAGGAGACUCAAUGUUACCAGUUACAACGGAGCAGAGAGAAUUAAGCACAUAAGAAAUAAUGGUCAUGUAUGAGGUACGUAGUACAAGUAACUGCAGUGAGGGAUUGUGUGUUGUAAGUUAAAGUAGCAUUGAAAAUGACAGAUACUAUAACUAUAUACAAGAAUACAGAGCACUGAUCCAGAUAUUCAGCGCUUUUUAAAACAGCACAAUUAAACAUCAGCAGCCCUGGGAGAAUUUAGUCACAUCUGGCUUGAUGGGCUUUAUUCGUCAACAUUUAACCACAUUUUUGCAAAAAAAAGAAAGAAGAAAUCCAACUCGUUGUAGUCAGUUAAAACAUACUUUUUAUUAGGAUUUCAGGCUAAUUGAUUUCAGACUUCUUGAGUUGGACUUAUAAAAUAGCGACUGAAUACAGUUUCUGAAACAGAACCAGUACUGCCAGUAUCUUUCCAAGCUUUCUAUGUGACUUAUACUGAACUUCUCUUUAAAAAGUGAUGACAGAUGGAGACUUAAAGACUGACACAAGUAAUUAAUGAUAUAGCUAGUAGGGUAAAGGAUUCCAGUGAAGAAAACUGAUAGCAAUUGUAUUUUUAUCGACUCUUUGCCUCUCUCUGGUGGUACAAGUAUGUAUCACAGUUCAUCAAUUUGAACUGUCCAUAAUGGAUAAAUGCAAAAACACAACUUCAAAUAAGAAUAAAACAGUUUAUUUAUUACAUUUUUUUCCUACAACUGUUUGUCUUUUUUUAAAGCCUUUCACACAACGAACACUACAAAUUAUCUGAUGGAAAUGUUUUACUCAAUGGUCAAAAGUACACUGCAACUUUAGAUAUGGUCAAACCGUAAAUCACAGCCAUUUGUAAUAUUUCAUUCAUGAAAUAAACUAACAAUGAACAACAGAUGUUCACAAGCAAAAAAGGAAAAUCAAUUCUCAAAAAUAAUGUGUACAAAUAUGCAAUUCCCAUCAUUCAAAUUAAAUUUUCCUUUUACCUGCAGACAGCUUGAAACUUGCUUUUGAUGGGUGAAUACUACCAUCUACAACAAAAAAAAUUUUUUUGAUGUGAAUUUCUCUUAUUUUGCCAUGUUCCCUUUAGUUGUGAUGACACUCAACAGCGUGGCUACAUGUACUAUUGCAUGACCAUUGCAAUUUAAGAAAUAUGACAGCAAUUGAUUCACUAGACUCUAUACAUUACCUAAAGAUAAAACGUUUUGUCAAAUACAACAGAAUGUCUUUUCUAGCAACAUGGGCAUUUCUAGGUUCUGGAAGACUUUGUAAAAUAGUGUCCAUAUGGUUGGAUUUGUCUACACAGAACA